rnacentral:rRNA from 1 species
UAGGGAAUCUUCCGCAAUGGGCGAAAGCCUGACGGAGCAACGCCGCGUGAGUGAUGAAGGUCUUCGGAUCGUAAAACUCAGUUAUUAGGGAAGAACAAAUGUGUAAGUAACUAUGCACGUCUUGACGGUACCUAAUCAGAAAGCCACGGCUAACUACGUGCCAGCAGCCGCGGUAAUACGUAGGUGGCAAGCGUUAUCCGGAAUUAUUGGGCGUAAAGCGCGCGUAGGCGGUUUUUUAAGUCUGAUGUGAAAGCCCACGGCUCAACCGUGGAGGGUCAUUGGAAACUGGAAAACUUGAGUGCAGAAGAGGAAAGUGGAAUUCCAUGUGUAGCGGUGAAAUGCGCAGAGAUAUGGAGGAACACCAGUGGCGAAGGCGACUUUCUGGUCUGUAACUGACGCUGAUGUGCGAAAGCGUGGGGAUCAAACAGG